rnacentral:siRNA from 1 species
AUAUAAUAAAGUAAGGUUUCCUCA